rnacentral:piRNA from 1 species
UUCUUCUGCCCUUGCACCGUGGUU